GAUGAACGCUAGCGGCAGGCCUAACACAUGCAAGUCGAGGGAGAAGCCCUUCGGGGCAGAAACCGGCGCACGGGUGCGUAACGCGUAUGCAACCUACCUUUCACAGGGGGAUAGCCCGAAGAAAUUUGGAUUAAUACCCCAUAAUAUUGUUGGAUGGCAUCAUUUUGCAAUUAAAACUGCGGUGGUGAGAGAUGGGCAUGCGUCCUAUUAGCUAGUUGGAGUGGUAACGGCACCCCAAGGCUACGAUAGGUAGGGGUCCUGAGAGGGAGAUCCCCCACACUGGUACUGAGACAGGGACCAGACUCCUACGGGAGGCAGCAGUGAGGAAUAUUGGUCAAUGGUCGGAAGACUGAACCAGCCAUGCCGCGUGCAGGAAGAAUGCCUUAUGGGUUGUAAACUGCUUUUAUAUGGGAAGAAUAAGGUGUACGAGUACAUNGANGACGGUNCCA
rnacentral:rRNA from 1 species